UUUCAAAGACGAGGUCUCACUGUGUGGCCCAGGCUGGAAUGCAGUGGCUAUUCUCCGGUCUGAUCAUGGCUCACUACAGUCUCAGACUAAUCUCCUGCACUCAAGAGAUCCUUCCAUGAAGUUGGAACUAUAGGACACAUCCGUAGAAGUAUUUGGCAUCACGCUGCUGCUCUUCACUGAUGAGAAGUGACUCACCAGGAUGACAGAGGUUCUGAGUAGGGCAUCUGCCAACCAAUGGGGCAAGAUGGCUCAGAAUGGACCCUCAAGAUGUACAAGCCCUGCAGAGCCAGCAGAGUGGCCGGUGCCAUCUGGCCAAUGUCUGGAAUUGAAGCACAAAGGAUGUUCUCCAGAAAUGAAAGCUUAUUUUAAGGUCACUUCUUGGGAGAAAUAGAUUACAAUUAUAGAAGUCUUUAUAUAAAUGUUCAAUCUGGGGCUGAAUCCUUGAACAGGGAAAGAAAAAGCCAUGAAGGCAGUCCAGAGCAUCUGUUUGAACAAUAACAACAGAAACAUUGCACAUUAUUAUCCUCCUUGCAGAUUAACCAAAAUAAACAUGGACUGAAUCCUCAGUUAACUCACUGCACAUAUGAGCAAAGAGAUCAGGAUGCAUGAAAUACUUAGCUUUAAAAAAACAAAAACAAAAACAAAUAAUUUCCCAAGUGUGUUUGAGGUUCCCAGAUUCCUUCAGUCUAAUGUUCUCCAUUUUAACUCUGAAGUUAAAAUGUUCAUAAAGGCUGAAACUGAAACUGUUCAUAAAGAUCUCUUGAAUAAUAUAAAAAGGAUGAAUUAGGUUUCAUACACUGUUUCCAUUAAGGAAAGUGAGUAGAGCCUUUUAAAGAAAGAUUUGUUACAAAUGGA
ensembl:lncRNA novel transcript